rnacentral:rRNA from 1 species
GACGAACGCUGGCGGCGUGCUUAACACAUGCAAGUCGAACGAAGUGGCGAACGGGUGAGUAACGCGUAAUCAACCUGCCCUUCAGAGGGGGACAACAGUUGGAAACGACUGCUAAUACCGCAUACUGAUGGAGGGGAUUGCGGAUGGUUAGCUAGUUGGCGGGGUAACGGCCCACAAAGGAGAGGAACAGUAGCCGGGUUGUGGUGAAGAACUGGUACAUUGUGACUGAGGAACGGCCCAGAAUCCUACGGGAGGGAGCCGUGGGGAAUCCUCCGCAAUGGACGAAAGUCUGACGGAGCAACGCCGCGGGAGUGAUGGCGGCCUUCGGGUUGUAAAGCUCUGUUAAUCGGGACGCGGUACCGGAAUAGAAAGCCACGGCUAACUACGUGCCAGCAGCCGCGGUAAUAC